UCCAAACAAUUCAGGCAUUCUUCUUGAAUUGGUCACAGAUCUUUUCGAUAAAACUGCCAUUUCAAUCCAAAGUGGGUUGGCAAAUGUGGGCACCAUUGAAUUUGGGCUUGCGUCAUUGUUCGUUGCUCCAGAGACCAAUUUCCCUUUCGAAAUGCUAGCGCUUAUUGCUUCUUUCAGCGACAAUCCAUGGCAGUCUGGUUCAGUAUUUGGAGUAUGCUUCAUGUUCUGCCAUGAUUUGUUGAACUCCACCAAGCUUUUAGUUCCUCCUGGAGAUCCUUCAAGUUCCCGAAUGAGGUCCAAUGCAAACUCUGUCCGGUUCUCGUUUUCCGGUAUCGGAUGACCAAACUCGGCGAAGAACGACGGCAAAUGCAUCGGAGGUCCACUGUAAACGGUUUGGCCACGAGACAGAAAUAUCAACCGAUCUAGCAAACCAAGAAUCCGAUAACUCGGCUGGUGUACGGACAUGAUAACUAUACUCCCAGUCUGUGCUAUCCUCUGCAAAACCUUCACCACCAUAAACGCACUGGUGGAGUCCAAACCGGACGUCGGUUCAUCCAAGAACAGUAUAAUUGGGUCAUGGAUUAUAUCUAUUCCAAUCGAAACACGACGUCGUUCUCCUCCAGAGACCCCUCGGUGACCUUCGUCUCCUAUGACUGUUUUGGCUGCGUUUCGCAGCCCUAACUGAUCGAUGAGAGCUUGGACUCGCAUUUUCUUCUUCGAUUUUGAUAAGCUUCUCGGCAGCCGGAAUUCAGCAGCGAACAUGAGCGUUUCUUCGACGGUGAGCAUUGGGAAUAGUAAAUCAUCUUGCAUCACGUAAGCUGAUAUCACUUUCAACAUCCGCGAUUCCAAAACUUCACCGUUUAAUGUUAUCGUCCCUUUCAAGCUCCCCUUGGCUAUCCGGUUGGCUAAUGCGUCGAUCAACGUUGAUUUUCCCGAUCCACUGGCUCCAAGCACAGCGAGAAUCUCUCCAUCGCGAGCCUCACCGGAGAUGUCAUUAAGUAAAGUCUUCGUUGUAGUAAACAUGCUUUCUCCAACCACAGGCUCAGCAGCCGUGGCAGGUCCAAGGUGGUGGCGGCGGCGGCGGCCCCGAUUGAGUACACUCGGUAAGUUCAUUUUCCGGCUGACUUUGACGCUGUAGGUGAGGUUAUUGAACGAGAGAAUGAAAGGAAUAGACCUCGGUGGCUCCAUAUUUGUAUCACCGAGCUCAAGCACUUGGUGAACCGGCGUUUCACUUCCAUCACCAGUAGCUUCUUUCCGAACAUCACCAACGCGCUUAAGCAACCGGCCAAGAGUGGGAGGGCAAUCAAGAUCCAUACUCUGAGUGUAAAACGGCGGCGUAUCAAUAGUGGGAGAGAAAUUCCCCGCUACAACGCGAGGCAUAAUAUUAUAUAACGAGCUGCUUAUAGAGAGAAGAGAAAGAGAGAGGGAUAACGUUGACGGAGUGAUGAAGCAGGUUGGAGAAUUAUGAGUUGCGCUGGUAUAACGGUGAUGGCGAUUGGAGAGAGAUAACGGCGCUGGGAAACAGCGUUGAAGACGGGUAGUGUG
rnacentral:misc_RNA from 1 species